GAUGAACGCUGACGGAAUGCUUAACACAUCAGCAAUUGAUUGGUGGCGGACGGGUGAGUAACGCGUAAAGAACUUGCUUCACAGCAAGGGGCAACAUUUGGAAACGAAUGCUAAUACUUAAUACUGUGAGAGAGAUUUGCGUCCCAUUAGCUAGUUGGCGAGGUAACGGCUCACCAAGGCGAUGAUGGGUAGCCGGCCUGAGAGGGUGAUCGGGCACAAGGGGAUAGGGGCACGGCCCUUACGACUACGGGAGGAAGGAGCGGAGACUAUUGGACAACGGACCAAUGUCUGAUGCAGCAAUUCUGUGUGUACAAUGAAUUUUUCGGGAUGUAAGGUGCUUUGAGUAGGGAAGCGUUACCAACAGAAGAAGUGACGGCUAAAUCCGUGCCAGCCGCCGCGGUAAUUC
rnacentral:rRNA from 1 species